CAUAAUUUUUUCUGUGACUGUAGGUGAUAUGCACGUGCAUGUUUUAGAAAUUUACCAUUUUAUUUCCAAAAUCCUAACCAAAGACUAACCUUGUCGUUCAUAUUUUGGUAUUGAAGAGUUUUACCACUCUUCAAUUCCGUGUGAACCUAGAAGCAGAAUGUCAGCGUUCGUGAAGAAUAUGAUGAACUUUCCUCCUUGAAGAGAUGAUUUAGGGUACUCUGAUAAAAAUUUUAUUGGAAAAAUGAUAUCAAAUUUGACCACUUCACUUCGAUGGAGCAUGUAUCGAGAAGUUAGUAUCAUAUUUGAGUACUUGAAUAGCGAAUGUAUUGAGAAAAUUAUAUAAUAUUUGAGCACAUAGUUAGUGACUGUAUGAAGAAAAUGGUAUCAUAUUUGAGCAUAUAGUUAGUGAAUGUAUGAAGAAAAUGGUAUCAUAUUUGAGCACAUAGUUAGCGCAUGUAUGAAGAAAAUGGUAUCAUAUUUGAGCACUUAAAUAAAGAAUAUCUAGUAAAAAUGACAUCAUGUUUGGUAAGUGGUAUAAUUUUCAGUUAUUUUUAAAAUUAUUAAGAUCUUGAAUGAUGAAUUCAUAGUUCAAAUGAUCAAAGUGAUUUCAACCUUUUUUGUCUUUCGCUCCUAACUGAUUUUCUAAAUUUACAAUAAACUAUAAUUUAAUUUUCAUUAGGAUAGCUAAGAUUUAAAAUAUGUUUCAGGUGGUUUAUGAUGUUAAAUAAUCUAAAAUAAAUUUAAUUGUAUUGAAUUAUUAAUAAAUGGUUAUUAAAUCAUA